CCUUGCCCCUGAAAACAAACCAAAAAAUCACAAUACGAUUGAGCCCUACCUGAGGAAUUGAGGGAGAAAGAAAGGGGGAAGGAGAAAGAGUUAGGGAUCGUCGGAUCGGUAGUUGAGAGAGAGAGAGAGAGAUUGCGAGUCGGCGAGGGAUCGUGAGAUUGAGACUGAGAUAGAGAGAGAGAGAUAUUGACACCGAGAAAGAAGGAGAUGGAUUGCGAUUUCUCAGUUACCAAACAGAGGCCUAAUACUUGUUCUCAUACUGAUCUGUUGGAGGACUGAAAUCAAAGAAAUUAUCAGUGUUGCUGGCAAGGAUGAUUGAAUUGAUAGGACGCAAGGAAAGCAUUGUCAUUGAUUAUGAACUUUAUACUUCUCCCUCUGUAAUCUAAUUAGUAUACUUCAAAUCUGAUGGAAUGGACCAUGCUAAAUGUACUGUGAUGUAGUUUGUAUUUUUCUUCUGUUUGCUGUCAAAUGCAUGCUAAUUGUAUAAUCUACCUUGAAUAGAUAUUUCCAAACCUUCACCACAUUGAUUGCAUGAAGGAGAAAGUUGGUAAGAAAAGGCUUUUAGUUCUUUA